CUUCAACUAGUUCUUCAGGUAUAACUUCUUCUACUAGUUCUUCUGGUAUAA
rnacentral:antisense_RNA from 1 species